rnacentral:misc_RNA from 1 species
UCCUGGUUAACCCAGGCAGUCUCAUUAGAGUUCCCAUCCGAAAUGUUGGCAACUAAUGAUAAGGGUUGCGCUCGUUGCGGGACUUAACCCAACACCUCACGGCACGAGCUGACGACAGCCAUGCAGCACCUGUGCAGAGGCCCCGAAGGGAGACGCCAUCUCUGGCGCUGUCCUCUGCAUGUCAAGCCUGGGUAAGGUUCUUCGCGUUGCAUCGAAUUAAACCACAUGCUCCACUGCUUGUGCGGGUCCCCGUCAAUUCUUUUGAGUUUUACCCUUGCGAGCGUACUCCCCAGGCGGUAUACUUAUCGCGUUAGCUUCGGCACAACUAGGGUUGAGUCCAGUUACACCAAGUAUACAUAGUUUACGGCAAGGACUAC